rnacentral:lncRNA from 1 species
GUGGAAAAGGAGGGAGCUACUCUCAGGCUGCGUCCAGCGACAGUGCCCAGGGCUCUGAUGUGUCUCUCACAGCUUGAAAAGCCUGAGACAGCUGUCUUGUGAGGGACCGAGAUGCAGGAUUUCUUCACGCCUCCCCUUUGUGACUUCAAGAGCCUCUGGCAUCUCUUUCUGCAAAGGCACCUGAAUGUGUCUGCGUCCCUGUUAGCAUAAUGUGAGGAGGUGGAGAGACAGCCCACCCUUGUGUCCACUGUGACCCCUGUUCCCAUGCUGAUCUGUGUUUCCUCCCCAGUCAUCUUUCUUGUUCCAGAGAGGUGGGGCUGGAUGUCUCCAUCUCUGUCUCAACUUUAUGUGCACUGAGCUGCAACUUCUUACUUCCCUACUGAAAAUAAGAAUCUGAAUAUAAAUUUGUUUUCUCAAAUAUUUGCUAUGAGAGGUUGAUGGAUUAAUUAAAUAAGUCAAUUCCUGGAAUUUGAAAGAGCAAAUAAAGACCUGAGAACCUUCCAGCCCACCCCCGUGUCCACCGUGACCCCUGUCCCCACACUGACCUGUGUUCCCUCCCCGAUCAUCUUUCCUGUUCCAGAGAAGUGGGCUGGAUGUCUCCAUCUCUGUCUCAACUUCAUGGUGCGCUGAGCUGCAACUUCUUACUUCCCUAAUGAAGUUAGGAACCUGAAUAUAAAUUUGUUUUCUCAAAUAUUUGCUAUGAAGGGUUGAUGGAUUAAUUAAAUAAGUCAAUUCCUGGAAGUUGAGAGAGCAAAUAAAGACCUGAG